CGCGUAGGGAUUUAUCGUUGGGUGGGGGAUAACCGUGGGAAACUGCGGCUAAUACCGCAUGACGCCUGUGGGCCAAAGCCGCUGUGAGGUGGUGCCUGAUGAGGAGCCUGCGUCCGAUUAGCUAGUAGGUUGGGUAAUGGCUGACCUAGGCUGUGAUCGGUAGCUGGUCUGAGAGGAUGAUCAGCCACACUGGGACUGAGACACGGCCCAG
rnacentral:rRNA from 1 species